UACGUAGGGUGCGAGCGUUAAUCGGAAUUACUGGGCGUAAAGCGUGCGCAGGCGGUGAUGUAAGACAGUUGUGAAAUCCCCGGGCUCAACCUGGGAACUGCAUCUGUGACUGCAUCGCUGGAGUACGGUAGAGGGGGAUGGAAUUCCGCGUGUAGCAGUGAAAUGCGUAGAUAUCGGGAGGAACAUCAGUGGCGAAGGCGGCUGCCUGGCCCAAUACUGACACUCAGGUGCGACAGCGUGGGGAGCAAACAGG
rnacentral:rRNA from 1 species